rnacentral:rRNA from 1 species
UACGGAGGGUGCAAGCGUUAUCCGGAUUCACUGGGUUUAAAGGGUGCGUAGGUGGGCUGGUAAGUCAGUGGUGAAAUCUCCAGGCUUAACUUGGAAACUGCCAUUGAUACUAUCAGUCUUGAAUACCGUGGAGGUCAGCGGAAUAUGUCAUGUAGCGGUGAAAUGCUUAGAUAUGACAUAGAACACCAAUUGCGAAGGCAGCUCACUACCCGAAUAUUGACUCCUGAGGCACGAAAAGCGUGGGGAUCAAACAG